rnacentral:rRNA from 1 species
AUUGAACGCUGGCGGCAUGCUUUACACAUGCAAGUCGAACGGCAGCGCGGGCUUCGGCCUGGCGGCGAGUGGCGAACGGGUGAGUAAUACAUCGGAACGUGCCCAGUAGUGGGGGAUAGCUCGGCGAAAGCCGGAUUAAUACCGCAUACGACCUGAGGGUGAAAGCGGGGGAUCUUCGGACCUCGCGCUAUUGGAGCGGCCGAUGGCAGAUUAGCUAGUUGGUGGGGUAAAGGCCUACCAAGGCGACGAUCUGUAGCUGGUCUGAGAGGACGACCAGCCACACUGGGACUGAGACACGGCCCAGACUCCUACGGGAGGCAGCAGUGGGGAAUUUUGGACAAUGGGCGAAAGCCUGAUCCAGCAAUGCCGCGUGUGUGGUGAAGGCCUUCGGGUUGUAAAGCACUUUUGGCGGGAACGAAAAGGACUGUGCCAAUACCACGGCUCGAUGACGGUACCCGCAGAAUAAGCACCGGCUAACUACGUG